rnacentral:rRNA from 1 species
UUUAUAUUUUUGAUAUAAAUUUAUAAUUUUAUUUUUUAUUUUUAAAAAAAUUGUUUUUUCUUAUUAUAAGUCCGAAAUGUUUAAUUUAAUGAUAGUUUAAAUUACUGUGAAGGAAAUUUUUAAAAAUAAAUAAAAGAAAAAUUAAUUUUUUGUACCUUGUGUAUCAGGGUUUAUUAAAAUUUAAUAUUUAUAUAUUUUUCUCGAAUUUAAAAUAGUUAAAUAAUUAUUUAUUUUAUUGUAGUAUAAAUAUUUAUUAUAGUUAUUUAGAAAUGAAAUGUUAAUCGUUUUUAAAUAUAUCUAGUUUUUAAAGAAACGUAUUUAAUACGAUUUAAAUGAACAUAAAAAAUAUUAUUUUUUUAUUGUUAAUUUAAUUAAAAUAAUUUUGGGAUAAGCUAAAAUUUUAAUUUUUAGUACUAAAAAUUUUGUUCUAAAUUUAUAGGAUUUGAAUUUUCCAUUUUUAUAAUGUUAUAAUUAAUUUAGAUUAAAAUAGUAUUUAUAUAAAAGUAUUUAUUUUUUAUUUAAAUUUUAAUUUAAAUAAAAUUUUAUUAAGAAAUUAUGAUAAAAUUAGUAUAUAUAUAUAUAUAUAUAAAUUUAUAAAUAAAUUAUAAAUUUAAUUAUUAAAAAGGAAUUCGGCAAAAUGUUUUUCACCUGUUUAUUAAAAACAUGUCCUCUUGAUUAUAAUUUGAGGUCAGGCCUGCUCUAUGAAGAUUUAAAUGGCCGCAGUAUUUUGACUGUGCUAAGGUAGCAUAAUAAUUAGUUUCUUAAUUAGAAGCUGGAAUGAAUGGUUUGAUGAAAAAAUAACUGUCUCUUUAUUAAUAAAUAAAAUUUUAUUUUUAAGUAAAAAAGCUUAAAUUUUUUUAUGGGACGAGAAGACCCUUUAGAAUUUUAUAAUUUAUAAUUUAAUUAAAUUUAGGAUUUACAAUUUAAUAUUAUAAAUUAUUUAAUUGGGGAGAUUGAAAAACUUAAUUAACUUUUUUUAUAUUUUACAAAUUAAUUGAUUUUAUGAUCCACUAAGUGAUUAAAAGAAAAAAUUACCUAAGGGAUAACAGCGUUAUAUUUUUUAGAGUUCUUAUCAAAAAAAAUGAUUGCGACCUCGAUGUUGGAUUAGAAUAUCUAUUAGGUGAAGAAGCUUAAUUAGUAGGUCUGUUCGACCUUUAAAAUUCUACAUGAUCUGAGUUUAAACCGGUGUGAGCCAGGUUGGUUUCUAUCUAUAAAUAAUUAUUAUAAAUUAGUACGAAAGGAUUGUUUAUAA